GUAACUCCCGGAGGUGAUAGC
rnacentral:miRNA from 1 species